rnacentral:snoRNA from 1 species
GAAGAUGAUGAAAAGUAGUUGUCGCCCCAGUCUUAGAAGUAUCACUCUUUUGAUGCUUGAUGCUGAUUGACACUCCCUUUAUCUGAUUC